UAACGGCGAGUGAAGCGGCAAAAGCUCAGAUUUGAAAUCUGGCGUCUUCGGCGUCCGAGUUGUAAUCUGUAGAGGAUGCCUUUGGGUGGCCACCGGUCUAAGUCCCCUGGAACGGGGUGUCACAGAGGGUGAGAAUCCCGUAUGUGACCGGGAAGGCGCCCUAUACAUGGCUCCUUCGACGAGUCGAGUUGUUUGGGAAUGCAGCUCUAAAUGGGAGGUAAAUUCCUUCUAAAGCUAAAUACCGGCCAGAGACCGAUAGCGCACAAGUAGAGUGAUCGAAAGAUGAAAAGCACUUUGGAAAGAGAGUUAAAAAGCACGUGAAAUUGUUGAAAGGGAAGCGCUUGCAACCAGACUUGUUGGCGGUGUUCCGCCGGUCUUCUGACCGGUCUACUCACCGUCUGCAGGCCAGCAUCAUCUGGGGCCGCUGGAUAAAAGCGGAGGGAAUGUGGCUCCUCCGGGAGUGUUAUAGCCCUCUGUGUAAUACAGCGAGUCCCGGGUGAGGUCCGCGCUUCGGCUAGGAUGCUGGCGUAAUGGUCGUAAGCGGCCCGUCUUGAAACACGGACCAAGGAGUCUAACAUCUAUGCGAGUGUUCGGGUGUCAAACCCCUACGCGUAAUGAAAGUGAACGGAGGUGGGAACCUUUUAGGUGCACCAUCGACCGAUCCUGAUGUCUUCGGAUGGAUUUGAGUAAGAGCAUAGCUGUUGGGACCCGAAAGAUGGUGAACUAUGCCUGGAUAGGGUGAAGCCAGAGGAAACUCUGGUGGAGGCUCGCAGCGGUUCUGACGUGCAAAUCGAUCGUCAAAUUUGGGUAUAGGGGCGAAAGACUAAUCGAACCAU
rnacentral:rRNA from 1 species